rnacentral:lncRNA from 1 species
CUCCUCCUUCCAGUUUUAGCUCCGCUGUCUCCGCCUCCUCCUUCCAGAGCUAGACUUCUCAUUUUCCAUUGCUACUGGCCUCGCCUGCUCUCUAUCUCAUCCUGUUUGUUCGAUUUGAUCGUCAACGCUUAUAGUAGCAGCAAAAGCAGAUGCAGUCCUGACCGCCUGAUGUCGGUGAUUCUUCGGCUGCAGUAGAAGAACUGAAGAAGAAGGUGAAGCCCUUAGCCCUGAAUCAAUUCCCGAACCUGACACUAAUUUUUCCUUAUUUAUUUUUUGUUCUUUUGAUUUGCCCUAUAUUCUGGUUGUUGCUUUAGUAAUUAGAUGGCAUGAUUUGUGAUUUAUAUGGCAGUAUCCUGAUUAUGUUUUUGAUGUUGCUUUAAAGUAGUAUCCUGAUUAUGGCCGACUGAUUUGCCCUAUAUUCUACGUAGGGCCAAUUUCUAGCAAACACCAAGUUCAAACCAGGCUCAGUUUCACCUAUUAAGUCGACACCACCAAGUAUUGAGACAACUCCAAACCACCAACACCUAUUUCCCACCUCCGAUUGCUAUUGGUUGGAGAAGAUGAAGAACGAUAAUAUGCCCACUUCCAAUGAACCACAAAGGUCACAGAGAAGAGAAGAGAGUCUCAAAGAGAGAGGUUGGGCAUUCUUCAUUUUGGAGGCCGAGAGGAAGACAAGAAUAUAAGCCAAGUAAAUAUCCAAACAAGGUAAGUUAGGUUAGGGUUAUUUAGUGGACCAAACAAGGCUCUACUCAAAAAUAAUGGGCUUCAAAUUAAUAACAUAGCUUUCCAAGGAAAUGGGAUGAACCGUGAGCAAUACUAUUAACAAUAGGUUGCUUCGAACGGUCCAUAGGAAUGUGGAUUGGGUUGUCUCAAUAAUUGUGUCGAUAUACUAAUCAAUCAUAUGGCCAAGGUCGAUUGAUAAUGGAACCGGGGUUACAUCAUUGCCCGGGGGGUCGUUUGACAACAAAUUGCCUAAAAAACGUCCACAUUGGUGUUAAAGGACCUGCAAAAGAAAAAAUGUCUCCCAUUAGUGAUACAUCUAAUAGAAAACCGAUAAAAUUGGAAAUCAUUUACCUGUACCAAUAUUUAGAAGUUCCUUGCAAUUUCUAAACUUUGCCAGUGGCAGUACCUUCGUCCCCAUAUCAGAGGGGUUGUAGUGGGUAUGGACCUUUUCAAGUCUUACCACCUCUUGAGAUACUAUAUCUCUAAUGAAGUCUAACAUCACUAUGUUUAGUGCAUUCAUGAAAAACGGGAUUUUUGCAUAAAUGUAUAGAUGACUGACUAUCAUAAUACACUACCACAUAAUCAUUCAAGACACAUAGUUCAUGAAGAAGGCCUCUAAGCCAUAGAUCUUUUUUAAUAGCUUCAAUGGUAGCAAUAUAUUCUGAUUCUGUAGUAAAUAGUUCAACAAUAUGUUGUAACUGUGAUUUCCAACUAACACAUGAAUUAGAUAAGGUAAACACGUAAGACAAAGUAGAUAUCCUACCAUCCCUAUCUCCCGCGUAGUCAGCAUCUACAAAACCCUUUAAUUUUAUACCUUCUUUAUUAGCACUAAACUUUAAACCUACGUCACUUGUACCCAUCAAGGACUUUAAUAGCUACUUUAGCGUUUCCUAAUGUUCAGGGCCUGAAUUAGCCAUAUAUCUACUGAGAGUACUAACAGCAAAACCUAAAUUCGGUCUAGUGCAAACCAUCAAAUACAUUAUGGAACUACUCACAUUAGAGUAAGGCACUCUACUCAUGUAUUCUACUUCACGCUUAUUGCAAGGGGAUUAUUCCUUCGAUAAAACAAAAUGAUUAGCAAGAGGCAGCGUGACAAGUUUGCAAUCACUCAUAUUAAAUUUCUUCAAUACUUUGGAUAUGUAUGGAGACUGAUGGAAAAACAAAACAGAAUUUGACCUAUCUCUUUCGAUUUCAAUACCUAAGAUUCUCUUAGCCUUACCUAGGUCUUUCAUGUCAAAUUCACCACUUAGCUUUGCUUUUAUGUUAUUUAUCCACUUAGAGGAUGAUUCAAUCAAAAGCAUGUCGUCCACAUAUAGCAACAAAAACAGAUAAUUAUCAUCAGUCUCAUUGUGUUGAGAAUAUAGGCAGUGAUCAAAUUUAUUUCUUUGGAACCCUAUAGUAAGUACAAAGGAAUCAAACCUCUUGUACCACUGUCUACGAGAUUGUUUUAACCAAUACAAGAAUCUUCUCAGAAAAUACACAUAAUCAGGUUUUAACUUAUCCUUAAAACCUUUUGGUUGAUUCAUGAAAAUUUGUUCAUCAAGCUCACCAUGUAAAAAAACAGUUUUUACGUCAAGUUGUUCAAGUUCCCAGUCAAAGUGUCCAACCAAUGCGAGCAUGACCCUAAUAGUGGUGUACUUAACAACUUGUGAGAAAUUUUCAUUAUAAUCAACACCCUCCUUCUGUGUAUAGCCUUUAGCUACUAACCUAACUUUAAACCUUAGGGGUUCCGAGCUAUUAGUACCUUCCUUAACCUUAAAGACCCAUUUGCAAUCAACAAUUGAUUUGUUCUUAGGCCUAGGUAAUAGCUCCCAAGUAUGAUUCUUUUCUAAAGAACUCAUCUCUUCUUUCAUUGCCUUAAGCUGUUCAUUAGAUUGAUCACUGCCUAUUGCCUCUUCCAAGGUCUUUGGCUCUUUAUCAGCUAGUUAUUCAUAACUAGCCUGGGUGAAAGCUAAUUCAAAUUCAAAACCUAACCUUCUAGGUUCUCUCGUUUGUCUCCUCUCUCUAUCCCUCACUAAGUUAUAGUUAACUAAAGGAUUUUCUUCCUCAUAGUGCUCUUUUGUCAUUAUUUCAUUACUAUUCUCCACCUUGGGUUCCUGAGCUUAAGUCUCCACCUCACUUGAAGCAGUAGGGGUAGGUGGACUGAGAUUUCCUAACUCCACCUUAAAUUGGUCUCUCUCUUCACCUGGUUCAGCUUCACUCUCAGGUUCAGUUUCCCCUUUAAUACACGGCAUCUCAUUUUCGUUAAACGUGACAUCUCUACUUAUGAUGAUCUUCACCCCUUUUUGGCUUCUAUCCCAUAACCUAUAACCCUUAACACCCUCGGGAUAUCCUAGAAAGACACACUUCCUAGCUCUAGGUUCCACCUUAUCCUCGCUUUGAUGAGAAAAAGCUGUGCAGCCGAAAGUUCUAAGCAUCGAGUAAUCACUCAAUUUACCUGACCAUCUCUCAUGCGGAGUGUCACCAUUCAAUGUAGCAGAAGGAGUCAAAUUAAUCAAAUAACAAGCGGUCAUAACAGCCUCACCCCAAAAUGACUUAGGAACACCAAAACUACUUAUCAUGCAACGUACUUUAUCAAGUAUGGUCCUAUUCAUCCUUUCUGCUACCCCAUUUUGCUAAGGAGUGUAAAGAACGGUCUUAUUUCUAGUUAUGCCGCUUUCUUUACACAUACUAUCAAAUUCUUUAUUGCAGAACUCUAGGCCGUUAUCUAUCCUUAAAAACUGAUUUUCUUGCCAGUUUUGUUUUCUACUUGUCUCUUCCAAUUGUUAAAACUAUUAAAGGUCUCAGAUUUAUCCUUCAAAAGAUAGACCCAUACUUUUCUAGUGUAGUCAUCGAUAAUAGAUAGGAAAUACCUAUUCCCUCCCGAUGUAGGAUUACUAGCAGAACCCCAUAGAUCAAAGUGCACAUAUUCGAGUACGCCUUUAGCUCUAUUAACACUCGUGGAGAAAGAAGUUUUAUGGUGCUUACCAAGCACACCAUGAUCACAAAAUGGCAAAUCUGACACACAAUCAUUAUCAAAAGUACCUUUUUCGUUAAGUAGCUUAAGUCCCUUGACCCCUACGUGAGCAAGUCUAUUAUGCCAUGUGUGUGUGUGAUCAAUCUUGGCAGAGGAGAUAGAGGGGUUCACACCUCUAAUCACUUCCCCAGUAGUAAUAUAUAUAUCAUUUUUCUUAAUUCCCUUAAUGGAAACUAAAGCACACUUGAUCAUUUUUAGCAUACCAUUUCCAAUUUUACCAGUAAAGUCAUCCUUCUCAAGUCUCCCUACUGAAAUCAGAUUCCUAGACAACUCAGGAAUAUAUCUAAUGUCCUUUAACGUAUACACAAAACCUGUGUCAAAUUUUACGUUUAUUUCACCAAUUCCAGCAAUAGUAUAGGCAAAGUUAUCACACAGCAUAACAUACCCAACAUUAGAUUCAUGCAGCUUAUAAAACUAAUUCUUUUCAGACGUCACAUGAAAAGAUGCACUAGAGUCAAAUAUCCACUCAUGCAUGUGGGAAUUAGCAGUUAGAUUUAAUUCAGCAGUGUAUGCAACUGGACUUGUAAUCAUAAAGACCUCACCACCAUUUAUAUCGAAAGUAGAUGCUAACACAUUGACCUCAUCUCUCUCCUUAAUCUUUAACUUACCAUUCUCCUUAUGACAAUCUUUUAUAAAAUGCCCUGUAUUUCCACAACCAUAGCAUUUUCUCACCUUAAUCCUAGAUUUUGAUCUAGACCUACCUUUGCUCUUCUUUUUCCAUCCAUUACCACUUGACACGCCACUAGUUUGAUAUUCAUCAUGACUAUUUGCCUAAAUUGAGUUCUACCCCGCAUCAUAUGUACCUCACCAUUCCUCUUAUCAUGUUUUUCAGCCCUAAUUUCCAUUUCUUUACUUCUAAGGGAAUCUAUGACAAUUUCACGUGUGUUCUUAACUUCCUUAUAGGAAUCAGGAAUUGCACUGAGAAAAAUUAUAGCCUUAUAAGUUUCGAACACAAUCUCAUCACAAUUAACUAUAUCUUGCACCAAUUUGUUAAACACGUCCAAAUUGUCAUCAAGAUCCUUUAAAGGAUCCAUUUUGAAACUGAAAAAACGUUCAAGCAGGUAAAGUUUAUUCGGUGUAGACUUAAGCAAAUACAAGUCUUCUAAUUUUUUCAAAAGUUCUUUAGUGGUUUUCAGUUUACCCACCUUUCUUAGAAUGGCGUCAGACAAGUGUAAAAUAAUUGAGUUAUAAGCAAGCUCAUCGGCUUCUUCUCUUUGUUCUUGUGAAAAAUUAGUUGAAAAUUUGCCUUCAAUGGCCUUUGAAACCUUUUGUUGGACUAGAAUGCUCUUCAUUUUUUGUUGCCAAAUAGCAAAGUCACCCUUUCCAUUAAAAAUUCCCAAAUUAAAGUUGUGAGUUGUCAUCUUUACACAACAGUCAAAAAUGCACAAACCACACACAGUAGUCCUAGGGUCAUGACAGUAUACACCGUUCUAGAUUCUCAGGGUUUCGUAAGACUCGCGGUCUUAGAUCAAGGGAAUGUUCGAACAGGUAAGGCCAUGGUAUUUCUAACAGAAUAAGUAAACAAUGAAAAUAACAAUACAGCAAAAAAUACGUCUAGCAGAUAACUAGUCUCAUAGCAAUUAGGUCACUAAGAAUUACAAAACUAAUUUUAACCCAAAACAAAUACUCAAUCAAAAACAAUCAAGAGCACGUAACCCUAAUUCUAGCUAAAGAAAUGGUUGUCAAGCAAUGACAAUCCCCAACCUAUUGUCAUCCCACACAGUGAUGCGCUAAUACUGAAAAUUAACGGGUUAAGCCAAUUUACCAGAGUGGACGUGUCUGAGUCCGUAUAAUUGAGAGAUAUGCGAAUCUACUCCUUUAGGGUCGCAAUCUUGACCUAAAGUAAUUCAGUAGAUAUAUGCAGUUUCAACCGUCGAUCCACCAGGGGCAAAAUUGUUCAACUUUUUUUGUGUAACCUAAAACAGAAAAUAAACAGUGUCAAUGCAUUCAAGGGAUUGAAAUGAGCAAACUGCCCGAAGGAAGUUCGCUCGAAAUCACCGCCACGCGCCGCCGCAGGAGUUCGCCGUCGCCACCAUGCGCCGCACUAGAAGGGGCGCCUCAGCCUGCUGGUUUGGGGUAUGGGGUCUAUUUCGCCAAAAAGUUUCUGGUUUGGCCGGAAAUCGCGAUUGCAGGUUCGAUCCUCUAUGAAAAUCAUGCACACCGCCUACAUUUUUAGUGGUUUUCUGGUUGGAGAAGGUGACUCUGGCUUUGAUACCAGUUGUAGGGCCAAUUUCUAGCAAACACCAAGUUUAAAUCGGGCUCAGUUUCACCUAUUAAGUCGACACCACCAAGUAUUGAGACAACUCCAAACCACCACCACCUAUUUCCCAUCUCCGGUUGCUAUCUAUUGGGGAAGAUGGAGAACAAUAAUAUGCCCACUUCCAAUGAACCACAAAGCUCACAAAGAAGAGAAGAAAUCGAGAGGAGAGUCUCACAGAGAGAGGUUGGGCAUUCAUCAUUUUGGAGGCCGAUAGGAAGACAAGAAUAUAAGCCAAGUAAAUAUCCAAACAAUGUAAGUUAGGUUAGGGUUAUUUAGUGGACCAAACAAGGCUCGACUCAAAAAUAAUGGGCUUCAAAUUAAUAACAUAGCUUUCCAAGGAAAUAGGACGAACCGUGAGCAACACUAUUAACAAUAGGUUGCUUCGAACGGUCCAUAGGAAUGUGGAUUGGGUUAUCUCAAUAAUUUUGUCGAUAUACUAAUCAAUCAUAUGGCCAAGGCCGAUUGAUAAUGGAACUGGGGUUACAUCAUAGCCCGGGGGGUUCGUUUGAUAGCAAAUUGCCUAACAUUCUAGUUGUUGCUUUGAUGUUGUUCAAUUUUCUAGUUUAUCUUGUCAUUUCCAAUUUUUCAAGGCUUUGUGAGAUCCUUAUUAGCCAUUGGUAGAGCUUGGAUAUGCUGAAGCUAGUCCGUGUUGCCUUGGCGUAACAAUUUUUUUUGACUUUCUGAGAUAUAUUUUGUUUUAUAAAAUUGGUUGAUGUCGUGUCUGAAUUUUGAGGGGGUGAUGCUAAAAUAAGAAUUAAGCUUCUUUAAAUAGCUUACCUUGCUGAUGCAAUUACAGAUUUUCCAAGAAUUGUUAAAUAAAAUUUGGUUACCCUUAAGUUGUUGGAUUAUGUAUUUUCACUAAGUUAUCGUCUUGCUGAUUUCCACGGUUCCUUAGUGUUUUCUUUUUCAUUUUGUGUAUUUGAUGGAUGGAGAGAACAUGUUUGGUUCAGCAAGUGUAUUAGUUUGAGUUGUUAUUCCUAUUAGGGUUCUCACAUAAAAAAGAAAGGAAUAAUUGGCAUCAAAUGAAUAGUAACUACUGCAGAGAAAGCUUACCAAGAAAAAGCACUAGUAGGUGGAAUCAGAACUCAUGCGUUCUCGAAAUCAAAAGGAGAUGCUUAAGCUGUUAGUUACUGAUAUGAAGCCACUUUCUGUUUGGGACAUUGUCCACAGUGGAGCCACUUUCCAG